GAUGAAGAACGUAGCUAAAUGCGAUAAGUAAUGUGAAUUGCAGAAUUCAGUGAAUCAUCGAAUCUUUGAACGCAUCUUGCGCUCCUUGGUAUUCUGAGGAGCAUGCCUGUUUGAGUGUCAUUAAAUUCUCAACUACACUGACUUUGAAUUGGUGUGGCUUGGAUUUGGGGGGAAAAUUGUUGUGGGCUUUUUGUAUAGUCUGCUCCCCUGAAAUUGAUUAGCGGUACCUUUGUGGAACUGUCUACAGGUGUGAUAAUUAUCUACAUCUUAGACAUCUGCUGGAAUGCUGCUCUCUAAACCUUACUUGUAUUGACAAUCUUGACCUCAAAUCAGGUAGGACUACCCGCUGAACUUAAGCAUAUCAAUAAGCGGAGGA
rnacentral:misc_RNA from 1 species